rnacentral:tRNA from 1 species
GGGUGCGUAGUUUACUGGUAGAAUACCGGCCUCCAGAGCCGGGGAAGGGGGUUCGAUUCCCUCCGUGCCCA